GACGAACGCUGGCGGCGUGCUUAACACAUGCAAGUCGAAUGAAGAGCGAUGGAAGCUUGCUUCUAUCAAUCUUAGUGGCGAACGGGUGAGUAACGCGUAAUCAACCUGCCCUUCAGAGGGGGACAACAGUUGGAAACGACUGCUAAUACCGCAUACGAUCUAAUCUCGGCAUCGAGGAUAGAUGAAAGGUGGCCUCUACAUGUAAGCUAUCACUGAAGGAGGGGAUUGCGUCUGAUUAGCUAGUUGGAGGGGUAACGGCCCACCAAGGCGAUGAUCAGUAGCCGGGCUGAGAGGAUGAACGGCCACAUUGGGACUGAGACACGGCCCAGACUCCUACGGGAGGCAGCAGUGGGGAAUCUUCCGCAAUGGACGAAAGUCUGACGGAGCAACGCCGCGUGAGUGAUGACGGCCUUCGGGUUGUAAAGCUCUGUUAAUCGGGACGAAAGGCCUUCUUGCGAAUAGGGAGAAGGAUUGACGGUACCGGAAUAGAAAGCCACGGCUAACUACGUG
rnacentral:rRNA from 1 species